UAGUCUGGUGCCAGCAGCCGCGGUAAGACGGAGGAUGCAAGUGUUAUCCGGAAUUAUUGGGCGUAAAGCGUCUGUAGGUUGCCUAACAAGUCUGUUGUUAAAGGUUAAAGCUUAACUUUAAAACUGCAGCAGAAACUGCUAGGCUUGAGUACAGUCGAAGUAGAGGGAAUUUCCAGUGAAGCGGUGAAAUGCGUAGAUAUUGGAAGGAACACCAAUGGCGAAAGCACUCUACUAGACUUUUACUGACACUCAGAGACGAAAGCUAGGGUAGCAAAUGGGAUUAGAUACCCCAGUAGUCCUAGCCGUAAACGAUGGAUACUAAACAUUGCGUGCAUCGAUCCGCGUGGUGUUAUAGCUAACGCGUUAAGUAUCCCGCCUGGGGAGUAUGCUCGCAAGGGUGAAACUCAAAGGAAUUGACGGGGGCCCGCACAAGCGGUGGAGCAUGUGGUUUAAUUUGAUGCAACGCGAAGAACCUUACCAGGGUUUGACAUGGUGUUAAUUCUUUGAAAAAAGAAAUACCGUUCGCGGUAGACACACACAGGUGGUGCAUGGCCGUUCUU
rnacentral:rRNA from 1 species